rnacentral:rRNA from 1 species
GAUGAACGCUGGCGGCGUGCCUAAUACAUGCAAGUCGAGCGAACGGACGAGAAGCUUGCUUCUCUGAUGUUAGCGGCGGACGGGUGAGUAACACGUGGAUAACCUACCUAUAAGACUGGGAUAACUUCGGGAAACCGGAGCUAAUACCGGAUAAUAUUUUGAACCGCAUGGUUCAAAAGUGAAAGACGGUCUUGCUGUCACUUAUAGAUGGAUCCGCGCUGCAUUAGCUAGUUGGUAAGGUAACGGCUUACCAAGGCAACGAUGCAUAGCCGACCUGAGAGGGUGAUCGGCCACACUGGAACUGAGACACGGUCCAGACUCCUACGGGAGGCAGCAGUAGGGAAUCUUCCGCAAUGGGCGAAAGCCUGACGGAGCAACGCCGCGUGAGUGAUGAAGGUCUUCGGAUCGUAAAACUCUGUUAUUAGGGAAGAACAUAUGUGUAGGUAACUGUGCACAUCUUGACGGUACCUAAUCAGAAAGCCACGGCUAACUACGUGCCAGCAGCCGCGGUAAUACGUAGGUGGCAAGCGUUAUCCGGAAUUAUUGGGCGUAAAGCGCGCGUAGGCGGUUUUUUAGUCUGAUGUGAAAGCCCACGGCUCACCCGUGGAGGGUCAUUGGAAACUGGAAAACUUGAGUGCAGAAGAGGAAAGUGGAAUUCCAUGUGUAGCGGUGAAAUGCGCAGAGAUAUGGAGGAACACCAGUGGCGAAGGCGACUUUCUGGUCUGUAACUGACGCUGAUGUGCGAAAGCGUGGGGAUCAAACAGGAUUAGAUACCCUGGUAGUCCACGCCGUAAACGAUGAGUGCUAAGUGUUAGGGGGUUUCCGCCCCUUAGUGCUGCAGCUAACGCAUUAAGCACUCCGCCUGGGGAGUACGACCGCAAGGUUGAAACUCAAAGAAAUUGACGGGGACCCGCACAAGCGGUGGAGCAUGUGGUUUAAUUCGAAGCAACGCGAAGAACCUUACCAAAUCUUGACAUCCUUUGACAACUCUAGAGAUAGAGCCUUCCCCUUCGGGGGACAAAGUGACAGGUGGUGCAUGGUUGUCGUCAGCUCGUGUCGUGAGAUGUUGGGUUAAGUCCCGCAACGAGCGCAACCCUUAAGCUUAGUUGCCAUCAUUAAGUUGGGCACUCUAAGUUGACUGCCGGUGACAAACCGGAGGAAGGUGGGGAUGACGUCAAAUCAUCAUGCCCCUUAUGAUUUGGGCUACACACGUGCUACAAUGGACAAUACAAAGGGCAGCGAAACCGCGAGGUCAAGCAAAUCCCAUAAAGUUGUUCUCAGUUCGGAUUGUAGUCUGCAACUCGACUACAUGAAGCUGGAAUCGCUAGUAAUCGUAGAUCAGCAUGCUACGGUGAAUACGUUCCCGGGUCU